UGAGUAUGUGAGAGACAAGUUCAAUUACACAAAAGUAAAGCCGGUAUUUUUAGUUUGCUGUUAUGAUAGAAGAAAGAGAACGGAGAAAGGAAAUCAGUUCGCGCCUGCUCUCUCCCUCCACUCCUGGUGGAAACAUUUCCGGCUCAGCAGCUCGGGCUCUCUUAUCGCGCUUGUGCUGGCUCUCUGGCCCGGAUCAAAUGGGUGAUGGAGGGAGAAAAAAAAUGGAGCUCUCGGGCUUUGGAUACGGUUUCAGCGUCUCAUUUUUCACUUCGAAUUACUGCCGUCACGCAGACGUUUAUAAAUUAGCAGAAGGAUUCUUACUGAUUUAUUUUCGAACGGGUAAUCAUCUCCGCGCAAGAAAGAGCUCUGGAAGUACCUGGCGCACCGAGCGUGAGAGUGGAUAACUCCGGCCAGUAAGAGAUAUCGGAUUCCAGGUUUAUUAUUAUUAUUAUUAUUAUUAUUAUUAUUAUUAUUAUUAUUAUUAUUAUUGUUAGUAAUAAUAAUAAUAAUAACAAUAAUAAUAAUACUAUACCGUCGUGCUUACAUUGGUUAAUAGUGUGUUUGUACUGUAAUAAAUCUUUCUUGUUAGGGGUCCUUUAAAAGAAUGUAACCGGUUUUUGUAAACAUUAUUUUUCCCACGCUAAAUCUCUCCCUCGUUAACGUCCAGCGGCUGCAGAUUUAUGAGGCCGAGUGGAUUUAUGUUUUGACUGUUUUCGAGGAAACCCUACUCUCAGUGUUUUUCUGCCUUUCCAUUUACGGUUUUUUUUUUCGUUUUUCGUUUUUCGCUUUACCCGCUAGCAGGCAAUUAAACCGGGAUUGUCUGCAAGCGACUAUUGAGCACGAUGUAUUGAAAAAUACAAUUCAAAAUUUAAAAAGAAAUCAGUUUAACUUUAGGCACCAGUCUUCUGCUAGAAGUGGGACGCAUUUUGAGCACUGUUCAGUUCGACAGUGCUGCUUCUUCAUUUGGAUUUAUUCCGCCUUUACAUGAACAGGUUUUUUUUUUUUAAAUACACUUUAUGAUUGUUAUUUUAAAUGCGGUCACAACAAAAACAUUUUUGCUAUGUAACAUAGAUAUGUAUAAUUUCACAAAAUCGCACUGUCUCCAGACUGAUGUAUGUGCCGCAAAAAGGUUACAUGUCAUUUUAUUGCGUUAAUAUGUGGCUACUAUAUCUCUAGUUUGUGUGUAAAUAGAGAGGGCGUUAAAAUUGAACUAAAUAUUUUAAAUACAGCUUUUAAAAGAAUGAUUCACUCUUUUCAGAAUGGUCGUUCCGAGGACUGAAAAUAUUUCCUGCUAGGGAAAAAGAACAUUGAAGCAGUCAAUAUGGCUGCCAGUCUCAGCAGUGAGUGGGAAGAUUCCUUCUGUGAGGUCUUGUGUCUUGUGCCUACUUGCUUUUGCUUCUCUUUAAGAUGCGUAGGAUUGUACCUUGUCUUUGACCAUGUGCAAUAAAAGGAUGCUUCAAUCACAGUGAACGUUAACAGAAACGUAGGACGUAAGAGCAACACAAGAAAACAAGCAAUGGAAAGGAUGAAAAGGAAGAACAUAAGGCUACAUAAAUACCGGACCAAGUGAACACAGUUCGGUCUCAGAGAAGUUAAACGUGGAUAACAGCAGCAGCUUGAAUGGAUGUCAGACAGUGAGUGAUAUCAUUUCUCAGCACUGUUUCAAACAACUAUUUCAGAUGAGUCUGAGCUGGAACUAUCUUGCUGAACCAAACAUACUUAACUGUGGACACAUGGCUGAGAUAAAAUAAGAUAAAAUGUUUCAAGAACUAUUUCAAUGCUGCAGUCGGUGUGUGUGUGUGUGUGUGUGUGUGUGUGUGUGUGUGUGUGUGUGUGUGUGUGUGUGUGUGUGUGUGUAUGCCUGUGCGUGUAUGCGUGAGGGUGUUGGGGGUUGGUGCCACCAUCCACCCCCUUUUCUAUCUACAGAAAUGAGGCGAGAUAUUGUUUUUGACAGGGCGGCGGAGAACAGGAAUACACAUCUUGAAAAGCGCCGCCUUUUGUUGCUGCUGCCGUUAUUAUGUGAUGGGAGGCCGGCGGAGAAGCUCUAAUUUGGUUAAGCUAAGGUUUACACUGCUGCUGAUGGCCAAGCGGGGAGCGAGACUACUGAGGGAGAGAGAGUACCAUGAUGCGAAGGGGCCCGGCCUUAACUGUAAAACGAUUCGAGGGGCACAUCCAUCAGUUCCAAUACCAAUUGUAAUUUGUUUUGUAAUUUGUAAUAAAAGUAUUAAUAAAAUAAUAUUAAUAACAUUCAAA